rnacentral:antisense_RNA from 1 species
CUUCUCCGGUUCCGCGCAGGUCACUGACCAGCUGAAUGGUACGCCCCGCGCCUUCACGGGGAACAGCCUGAAUGGAAAGGUUCAGACCACGCUCUGUUUCCAGAAUGAACGUAAAGGGCUUUUUGUUGACGGUGGCCACCACCACACCGCCGGAGGCGGUCUGCUCAUUAUUGGUCAGGGCACCAUCCAGACUGUUCACGGCGAUAAUCCGGUCACCGGGAACGGUAAACAGAUUCGGGCUGGUAUUGCUGAUGGCAAUACUGGCCUGACCACCGUUCACCAUUGGCACCACAGUGGGGGCCAGCGUACCGUUUGCGGCCAUCACGCUGCAGGAAAAAAACAGGCCGCCGAAUAUUAUUGCCGUAUUAUUUUUUCUCAUCGUCUGUUUCCCCGAAAUUAUCCAGCCAGGUCACCCCGUUUUCCCGCUUCAGAAUAAGGAUGUAAUGUUUGAUAUCAGUAAAAGGUUCGGAGUUACCAAUCCAUGUUUUCCGAAUUCCACGGAUUUCCACACGACCAUACUGAGGCCAGACACGGACACUGGUCUGGAAAAAAGCAGAAUUCACGUUAUCUUUUUUAAUGAGUUUCGCUUCUUCAGCCAGAAUAACUUUCAUCUGGUUCUGUGCACCCGGGCGGAUAUAUUGCAGAAGCGCCUGAUGUGAAGCAUCGACGAUUUCCGGUGAGACAUUCAGACGGAGGGCAAUAAAUGACAGCGCCAUCUGCUGCAAAUAAGAGGCAUCGGCACUGUUCUGUGACACGGCAAAGGGCACAUUAAAUCCCAUUGGGGUCACGGCAGUGCGUUGCUCAUUCUGAAGACGGUAGUUAUUCACCCCCUGAAUGAGGUUAACAGAGAGGCUGAGAACAAUAAGCACUGACAUAAAUAUAAAGGCGAUGGCCAUUACACGACUGGUACUUAAACGGGCACCGUGUUCCAUAUAACAAUCCUGGUAUCAGUUCUAUUUAAUCCACUGCCGGAAACACGAAUCGGGAACAUUAUGAAAAAUACCGCGCAGCAGGGCUGUUGGCAUAUACCAGUAAAUCAGGUCACGUAACCAGGAACUGCCCCGCCCUUUUUUCAGUUUUUUAAUCCCGAAAUAAACCAGAACCGCUGCACCAAUACCGAACAGAUAUUUCGAUGUUGUGAUACCCCAGCCAACACAGAUUGCUGCGGGGAUCAGUUCAUCCAGUGGCAGGCCAAACCAGCGGCUCUGGUUGGUCAGUGUUUCCGGGAAACGAUAUUUCUUAAGUUUAUUCUCGUCUCCCGACAUCGUUUUAUUUCCUGUCAGAGGCCAACGACGCUCAUACCCACAGCAAUAAAUACAGAGAUGAUGGCAAAGCCGACCAGGAACUUGACGUUUUUGGUCAUCAUGUACAUGACCGCACCGACCAGCACCUCAGCCAGAACAACCCAUUUAACGAUACUGGAGUCCUUACCGAAGGUCGCCUUAACCGUAUCGUUACCUUUAGCCAUCAGGUCGCCUUUACCAGCAGCCAUAGCUAACUCAGGGAACAACAUCAUCAGAACAGCAACCGGGAUCACUGCACGAACCAGGCGAAGCAUAUUCAGACGAGUGAAUUUAGAAAAAAACGAUUUCUUUUCAACGGGCGCAGAAGCACCCUGAACACUUAAAACAGUAUUCAUAAGUUACCUCUAUUGUGGAUAGAUUAAUAAACCUAAAGAUCUUUAAUUAUCGAAUCAGUUUCCUCUGCUCCCUCCUUUAUUGCAUCCAGAUUAUAAAAGUCAGGAAAACGGUUCAGAUGAUCACGUAACCUGACUAGCACCUCAUUAGUUUUUGUUCUCCCACUACGUUCCCGGGCACCUAAGAGCUUGUGAUUAGUAGCAUCGUCCAAUACCAGUAAAACUUUAUUGCCCGGAGCAGGCCUUAUUAUAUUUCUGCUCAAGUCUCCUCCUCAGCCACUUAGAUAAUUAAAUAUAAUUAUACGAAUCCAUAAAAAUAGAAACGAAAAUAGAGUAAAUUACAUUAACAAAACAAGGUGACAUAAUGUCACCUUGUUUUUAACAAAAACGAAACAUCAACUAUUCAGCACAUUUUAAAAUAAAAAACAAUUCAUCAAAGAAUAAACUAUGCAUCCUGCUUGUAUGAAAAAUCAUUAACAAAUCAUGUUUUGAAUGUAUACCGAAAAACUUAUACACUUCUGAAAUUGCAUUCCGGGAAGAACCAUUAGUAAUAGACAAAAGAGAUGCUAUCGAUUCAUGACAAAAACCAAAUGAAUAAAGAAUAAAAACUUUCCAUUGGAUUUCCGUUGAUUUGUUUUUAAAUUCAAGCAUUCUGUCAUUUGUUAUAUUUGUACGUAAUCCUCUACAAUAAUCCACUAUCACAUUAGAAUUUUUGCAGAAAAAAAGCCAUAAAACAUUAACCACCUCCCCAUAUAUUAAUGGUAUAAAUUGUACCAGCCAGAGUUUAUCACCUAUAGCCACGCUCUGUAUUUUAUUCAUGGACGAAGGCAAAGACAUAGCAUCCAGUUCUUCUCUUAAGAACGAUGUAGCUACUUGUACAGGAAGGGAGUAAAACCACUCUUUGAUAUCAAGACUACCUAUAAAUUCUUUAGAGAAUUUUUCAUUGUAGCCGAUAAAAUCUCCAUUAGUAUUUCGAACACAAGCAGGGAUUGAAAAAACAUCGACAAAAAACUGUUUAUCCAAAUAUAUUUGACGUUCAGUAUUAAGUUGUCUAGGAUCCGUCGGAUACAUAGGAACCUCCUCUCAAAGGAUUCUAUGGACAGUCGAUGCGGGGAGGUCGCUCUCCCUGCAUCGGCGAUUUU